GUGGGGAAUAUUGGACAAUGGGCGAAAGCCUGAUCCAGCCAUGCCGCGUGUGUGAAGAAGGUCUUCGGAUUGUAAAGCACUUUAAGUUGGGAGGAAGGGUAGUAACCUAAUACGUUGCUACUUUGACGUUACCGACAGAAUAAGCACCGGCUAACUUCGUGCCAGCAGCCGCGGUAAUACGAAGGGUGCAAGCGUUAAUCGGAAUUACUGGGCGUAAAGCGCGCGUAGGUGGUUCAGUAAGUUGGAAGUGAAAUCCCCGGGCUCAACCUGGGAACUGCUUUCAAAACUGCUGAGCUAGAGUACGGUAGAGGGUGGUGGAAUUUCCUGUGUAGCGGUGAAAUGCGUAGAUAUAGGAAGGAACACCAGUGGCGAAGGCGACCACCUGGACUGAUACUGACACUGAGGUGCGAAAGCGUGGGGAGCAAACAGGAUUAGAAACCCCAGUAGUC
rnacentral:rRNA from 1 species